rnacentral:rRNA from 1 species
GAUGAACGCUAGCGAUAGGCUUAACACAUGCAAGUCGAGGGGCAGCAUGGUCUUAGCUUGCUAAGGCUGAUGGCGACCGGCGCACGGGUGCGUAACGCGUAUGCAACUUGCCUCACAGAGGGGGAUAACCCGUCGAAAGACGGACUAAUACCGCGUACACUCUAUGUUGGGCAUCCAAUGUAGAGGAAAUGAAAUUCGCUGUGAGAUAGGCAUGCGUCCCAUUAGCUAGUUGGUGAGGUAACGGCUCACCAAGGCGACGAUGGGUAGGGGAACUGAGAGGUGGAACCCCCACACUGGUACUGAGACACGGACCAGACGCCUACGGGAGGCAGCAGUGAGGAAUAUUGGUCAAUGGGCAAGAGCCUGAACCAGCCAAGUCGCAUGAAGGAAGACUGGAUUAUGGAUUAUAAACUUCUUUUAUACGGGAACAACAAGAGUCACGUGUGGCUCCCUGCAUGUACCGUAUGAAUAAGCAUCGGCUAACUCCGUG